rnacentral:rRNA from 1 species
CUUCGGUCCUGAGUAAAGUGGCGCACGGGUGAGUAACGCGUGGAUAAUCUGCCCUUAUGAUUGGAAUAACAGUUGGAAACGGCUGCUAAUACCGGAUACGCUCAAAAUGAACUUUUUGAGGAAAGAUGACCUCUGCUUGCAAGUUAUCGCAUAAGGAUGAGUCCGCGUCCCAUUAGCUAGUUGGUGGGGUAAUGGCCCACCAAGGCUUCGAUGGGUAGCCGAUUUGAGAGGAUGAUCGGCCACACUGGAACUGAAACACGGUCCAGACUCCUACGGGAGGCAGCAGUGGGGAAUAUUGCGCAAUGGGCGAAAGCCUGACGCAGCGACGCCGCGUGAGGGAUGAAGGUUUUCGGAUCGUAAACCUCUGUCAGAAGGGAAGAAACUGUGCUGUGCUAAUCAGCAGUGCAUUGACGGUACCUUCAAAGGAAGCACCGGCUAACUCCGUGCCAGCAGCCGCGGUAAUACGGAGGGUGCAAGCGUUAGUCGGAAUUACUGGGCGUAAAGCGCACGUAGGCUGUUGUGUAAGUCAGGGGUGAAAUCCCACGGCUCAACCGUGGAACUGCCUUUGAUACUGCGCGACUUGAAUCCGGGAGAGGGUGG